GACGAACGCUGGCGGCGUGCUUAACACAUGCAAGUCGAACGGAAAGGCCCUGCUCUUGUGGGGUGCUCGAUUGGCGAACGGGUGAGUAACACGUGAGUAACCUGCCCUUGACUUUGGGAUAACUUCAGGAAACUGGGGCUAAUACCGGAUAGGAUCUCCUGCUGCAUGGUGGGGGUUGGAAAGUUUCGGCGGUUGGGGAUGGACUCGCGGCUUAUCAGCUUGUUGGUGGGGUAGUGGCUUACCAAGGCUUUGACGGGUAGCCGGCCUGAGAGGGUGGCCGGCCACCUUGGGACUGAGAUAGGGCCCAGACUCCUACGGGAGGCAGUAGUGGGGAAUAUUGCACAAUGGGCGGAAGCCUGAUGCAGCAGCGCCGCGUGCGGGAUGACGGCCUUCGGGUUGUAAACCGCUUUCGCCUGUGACGAAGCGUGAGUGACGGUAAUGGGUAAAGAAGCACCGGCUAACUACGUG
rnacentral:rRNA from 1 species